UACGUAGGGUGCGAGCGUUAAUCGGAAUUACUGGGCGUAAAGCGUGCGCAGGCGGUCUGUUAAGACCGAUGUGAAAUCCCCGGGCUUAACCUGGGAACUGCAUUGGUGACCGGCAGGCUUUGAGUGUGGCAGAGGGAGGUAGAAUUCCACGUGUAGCAGUGAAAUGCGUAGAGAUGUGGAGGAAUACCGAUGGCGAAGGCAGCCUCCUGGGCCAACACUGACGCUCAUGCACGAAAGCGUGGGGAGCAAACAGG
rnacentral:rRNA from 1 species